GGGAGUGUAGUUCAGUGGUAGACCACAUACUUUGCUGGAAAAGGAAAUCCGGGUUCAAGCCCUGGGAUCUCCA